UUUACAAAGGGUCUGUAAUCUGGCAAAAUAUCUAAUCGCGUAGGUCUGAAUAUAUAUCAGACCCAUUCUUAAAAUAAAGGAUGUCCAAGCGUG
rnacentral:sRNA from 10 species